UUUAAGAUUCCUGUCUUUGGAAUUCUCAUUCCACUUUCCUCUCAUCCCUGAUGAAGGGAAGUAAAGGAAGACUACCACUAGCCUAAUCAAAAUAAUAUUUACAGCAUAUCAGAGAUCACGGAACUUAUGUGUUUCACUUACUUCCUGCCCCCAAAACCAUUUUAUGAAGAGAAAACUGAGACCACAGACUUGCCUGCAGUAACACAGUUACUUUGUUGUGGAGCUGGGACUCCAACCUUCUAUUACAAAUCGAGUUGGCUGUCACUGCACUUAUGGGGGCUCUCAAUCACUCAGUUGGCACUUGUUAAAUGCAUAAUGAUAUAGUAGGCAGUUGGAAGAAAGAGGGAAGAGUCCUGAAAAGGCAGGGAGGAAUCAGACGGCAAAAACACAGAUCUUGUUUAAAGUCUCGCUGGGGAGCUAAAACACCCAUGCCUGACUUCAGGAUAAAAAUUUCUGAGGAAUUUGGGCAUAAGCAUAUUCUAUGGUAUUCACAAGCUAUUAGUUAAGCCAGGGGCGUGUGGAGUAAAUCAAUAGUGAAAGUGGCUCAAGUUUUUGACGGAAUUCUCCAGGCGAGGGCAUUAGUUUAAACCCUGAAGAUCAAUGGCGAGUGUGGGUUUGUGAAGAUGAGAGAUGCGGUCUGUGGGAUGAAGGGCCCACGUGGACACCAAAGAGGAAAGGAACACCAGCUGCCACCUCUCGCCACGCAGAUUUUCCUUCUUCGGGGUAAUUUUCCACUCAGCUGCAGUGUUGUUGAGCACCUCCUAAUCCGCAGAGGUACGUGUGUACGUGGCCUUUGGGAGCCAAUGCUUGGGCACAGAAUCAACGUAUCAAUAAACUCUGCAGCAUGGAGCAGUG